AAAUUGAAGAGUUUGAUCAUGGCUCAGAUUGAACGCUGGCGGCAGGCCUAACACAUGCAAGUCGAACGGUAGCACAGAGAGCUUGCUCUCGGGUGACGAGUGGCGGACGGGUGAGUAAUGUCUGGGAAACUGCCCGAUGGAGGGGGAUAACUACUGGAAACGGUAGCUAAUACCGCAUAACGUCGCAAGACCAAAGUGGGGGACCUUCGGGCCUCACACCAUCGGAUGUGCCCAGAUGGGAUUAGCUAGUAGGUGGGGUAACGGCUCACCUAGGCGACGAUCCCUAGCUGGUCUGAGAGGAUGACCAGCCACACUGGAACUGAGACACGGUCCAGACUCCUACGGGAGGCAGCAGUGGGGAAUAUUGCACAAUGGGCGCAAGCCUGAUGCAGCCAUGCCGCGUGUAUGAAGAAGGCCUUCGGGUUGUAAAGUACUUUCAGCGAGGAGGAAGGCGUUGUGGUUAAUAACCACAGCGAUUGACGUUACUCGCAGAAGAAGCACCGGCUAACUCCGUGCCAGCAGCCGCGGUAAUACGGAGGGUGCAAGCGUUAAUCGGAAUUACUGGGCGUAAAGCGCACGCAGGCGGUUUGUUAAGUCAGAUGUGAAAUCCCCGGGCUCAACCUGGGAACUGCAUUUGAAACUGGCAAGCUUGAGUCUCGUAGAGGGGGGUAGAAUUCCAGGUGUAGCGGUGAAAUGCGUAGAGAUCUGGAGGAAUACCGGUGGCGAAGGCGGCCCCCUGGACAAAGACUGACGCUCAGGUGCGAAAGCGUGGGGAGCAAACAGGAUUAGAUACCCUGGUAGUCCACGCCGUAAACGAUGUCUACUUGGAGGUUGUGCCCUUGAGGCGUGGCUUCCGGAGCUAACGCGUUAAGUAGACCGCCUGGGGAGUACGGCCGCAAGGUUAAAACUCAAAUGAAUUGACGGGGGCCCGCACAAGCGGUGGAGCAUGUGGUUUAAUUCGAUGCAACGCGAAGAACCUUACCUGGUCUUGACAUCCACGGAAGUUUUCAGAGAUGAGAAUGUGCCUUCGGGAACCGUGAGACAGGUGCUGCAUGGCUGUCGUCAGCUCGUGUUGUGAA
rnacentral:rRNA from 2 species